AUUGAACGCUGGCGGCAGGCCUAACACAUGCAAGUCGAGCGAGCGGCGGACGGGUGAGUAAUGUCUGUGAAACUGCCUGAUGGAGGGGGAUAACUACUGGAAACAGUAGCUCUUACCGCGUACCAUCCAGUGUGCCCAGAUGGGAAUAGCGAGUAGGUGGGGUAAUGGCUCACCUAGGCGACGAUCCCUAGCUGGUCUGAGAGGAGGACCAGCCACACUGGAACUGAGACACGGUCCAGACUCCGACGGGAGGCAGCAGUGGGUAAUAUUGCACAAUGGGCGAAAGCCUGAUGCAGCCAUGCCGCGUGUAUGAAGAAGGCCUUCGGGUUGUAAAGUACUUUCAGCGGGGAGGCGUUACCCGCAGAAGAAGCACCGGCUAACUCCGUGCCAGCAGCCGCGGUAAUAC
rnacentral:rRNA from 1 species